rnacentral:rRNA from 1 species
UACAGGGGGGGCAAGCGUUGUUCGGAAUUACUGGGCGUAAAGGGCUCGUAGGUGGCCAACUAAGUCAGACGUGAAAUCCCUCAGCUUAACUGGGGAACUGCGUCUGAUACUGGAUGGCUUGAGUUUGGGAGAGGGAUGCGGAAUUCCAGGUGUAGCGGUGAAAUGCGUAGAUAUCUGGAGGAACACCGGUGGCGAAGGCAGGUCUCUGGGCCACUACUGACGCUGAGAAGCGAAAAGCAUGGGGAGCGAACAGG